GUAUCUGCUCAAGUCUGAAUCUGAAGUUACUUGCAUACAGGAAGCAGGAGCAGUUGAACUCCAGUGACCCUUCUGAUUGGUUAAAGGGAAGUGACCUGAAAAUGUGAAUGGUGCUUGCCCAUGCAAAACCAGUGCCCUUCUAUCAAGGGGAACCUACAAGGUUAGCGACUGUCCCAUAGACAUUCUUUGGGCGGUAAAUUGGCAAGGAGACGAGAAAAAAAAAAUGCAUCCAGCGGAAGAGAGUGCGGGAAAAGUCAGCGACCCUCCCUUCCCCCUCAUUCCAUUUUCCUCUCCAGUCUAUUCACGGUGCACUUGAAAAUGACAAUCACUGACCUUCAUUUAAACUCUCUUUUGCAUGUGAUUAUAUAUCUGAACAUUUGUACUGUUGUCAGGUUCCCUGUGGAAGUAAUAAGAACUAAAUUGCAUCAUUACACCUGUUUAAAAACCCUGCAUUGUAAGUUCUAUUGUAAGCUGGCCUUUCUUUACAUGCAAGGAAGACA